GCCUGGUCACUCAGUCCCUAUAGCAUUUAGGGCUGGAUACCAGAAGUUCCACCACUGCUGUUCCAAAGAACUGGAUGCCUUUGCAACUGCCCUGGUCAUAAGAUCAUUUGCCCCACCUGGCUGCCUCCUUCUUCUGAAUCUAGGUUUCACCCAGGUGUGUCUGAUUCAUGGCACCUGGGUCAUAUGUCUGAUCCUGAGCCACAAAGAGGUCUGGGGAUGAGAAUUUUCUGGCUUCUACCUGGAGAAUGUUGGACUCAGAAUGGAGAAAGGAAGGGCAUUGAAUGGCCACAACUAUGUGCUAUUUCUUUUUACUAGCUGUGUGAUCAUGGGUAGCCAACCCAGUCUAAUGGAAAAUUUGGAAGGAUGUUCAUCAUCUUGCCGCGUCUCUGUUUGUGUUCUAUUUCAGCCUAACAUGAAGGGAGCAUCAUCUUCGUUUUCACCAGCUCAGAGGGCAAAGCAUCUUGUCCUGGGUCACACAGCACAUCUGCAGAGAAACUGGUAGGGGUUGGGACAGCAGUUUCCCACUUUCUGUGCUGAGCUAUUCCUGCUCGCCAUGUAACCAGUGUCUCCACAACUUCUGACUGUGGUAGGAUAAUGGGGUGGGAGGUAUGGGUGCCUGGAUUUCAGCUUUCUGGAGGGAAAUCUUGACAUGCUUUUAUUUUCUUGUUUCUUUGGGGUGGAGCAAAUAAAAGGCAGUCAGGGGGUCCAUCAGGCCCAUGGGUACUGGUUCCAGGCAUAGCCUGUCAGUGGGAAUAUCUGGCCUCAAUGAAAGAUCAAUUACUCUGGAGGAAGCUAGCUGCCAGAUUGUGUGCAGUUCUAUGGAGAGGCCCACAUGGUGAGGAACUAAAGCCCUUGCCCAAUAGCCAGACGGGAAUUCAAGCCUGCUAAUCAUCAG
rnacentral:lncRNA from 10 species